UACGUAGGUGGCGAGCGUUGUCCGGAAUUAUUGGGCGUAAAGCGCAUGUAGGCGGGAAUAUAAGUCUGUUGUGAAAAUGCGGGGCUCAACCCCGUAUUGCAAUGGAAACUGUAUUUCUUGAGUGCAGGAGAGGAAAGGGGAAUUCCCAGUGUAGCGGUGAAAUGCGUAGAUAUUGGGAGGAACACCAGUGGCGAAGGCGCCUUUCUGGACUGUGUCUGACGCUGAGAUGCGAAAGCCAGGGGAGCGAACGGG
rnacentral:rRNA from 1 species